GAAAUGCGAUAAGUAAUGUGAAUUGCAGAAUUCAGUGAAUCAUCGAAUCUUUGAACGCAUCUUGCGCUCCUUGGUAUUCCGAGGAGCAUGCCUGUUUGAGUGUCAUUUAACUUCUCAACCACGUUGGAUAUUUUUUUCCGAUGCUGGCUUGGAUGUGGGGGUUGUUUGCAGGCUUUUUGUAACAAAAAGGUCGGCUCCCCUGAAAUGUAUUAGUGGUAUCUGAGGCUGUUACUAUUAGGUGUGAUAAUUAUCUAUGCCUUUUGGGUAUGCCGCAUGAACAGAUUGCACUGCUUCUAACCAAAAAUGAUUUUGAUAAAUUUGACCUCAAAUCAGGUAGGACUACCCGCUGAACUUAA
rnacentral:misc_RNA from 1 species